rnacentral:tRNA from 1 species
AGGUAUUUAAUUUAAGAAAAAUAUUAACUUGUCAAGUUAAAAAUAUCGUUUUGGUAAUACCUA